AACUGAGCCCAACCACAAUUAUAUCUCUUCAUUUUGCUUAGGAGAAAGCCAGCAGCUGCAAGCUAGUCUUUAGUAGGGUUUCUAUCCCCACAACCACAGAGAAGGGAAGACCAGUCGAUUUGUUAUUUGAAAAAUGGGGUGGAAAGCAGCUGAGAAACUGAUUAGGCACUGGAAAGUACUCAGAGGAGAUAAUGUUAUGAUAAUCCGAGGAAAGGAUAAAGGUGAGACUGGCGUUGUUAAGCGUGUCGUUCGCUCUCAAAAUCGUGUUAUUGUCGAGGGCAAAAAUCUGGU